rnacentral:lncRNA from 1 species
AUUUCUCUCUUUGUCUUUUCAUUCUUUCUGCCUUUUCAUUCUCUUAGUCUUUUCAUUUAAUCUUCCUUGUCUUUGUUUCUUGUCUUUGUUUCUUGUCUAGUGGUGAGCACCUUGCAUGGGACAUAGUCUCGUUUGUGUUUCGCCACUUUUGGCACUUUCCUCGUCUUCUUGUACAAUGUAAUUGUCCGUUUAAGUUAUGUAAAUAUUCAGUUUUUUAUGUGCCAAAUUAAAGUUGUUAAAUUAAA